rnacentral:rRNA from 1 species
AUUGAACGCUGGCGGCAGGCCUAACACAUGCAAGUCGAACGAGUGGCGGACGGGUGAGCAAUGCUUGGGAAUCUAGCUUAUGGAGGGGGAAAACUACGGGAAACUGUAGCUAACACCGCGUACCAUAGGAUGAGCCCAAGUGGGAUUAGGUAGUUGGUGAGGCAAAGGCUCACCAAGCCGACGCACUCUAGCUGGUCUGAGAGGAUGAACAGCCACACUGGCACUGAGACACGGCCCAGACUCCUACGGGAGGCAGCAGUGGGGAAUAUUGCGCAAUGGGGGCAACCUGACGCAGCCAUGCCGCGGGAAUGAAGAAGGCCUUCGGGUUGUAAAGGUCUUUCGGUAGGGAGGCGUUAACUACAGAAGAAGCACCGGCUAACUCCGUGCCAGCAGCCGCGGUAAUAC